rnacentral:rRNA from 1 species
GACGAACGCUGGCGGCGUGCUUAACACAUGCAAGUCGAACGGAAAGGCCCCUUUGGGGGUACUCGAGUGGCGAACGGGUGGGUAACACGUGAGUAACCUGCCCUUGACUUCGGGAUAACUUCAGGAAACUGGGGCUAAUACCGGAUAGGAAUCCUUGCUGCAUGGUGGGGGUUGGAAAGCUUCGGCGGUUUUGGAUGGAUUCGCGGCUUAUCAGCUUGUUGGUGGGGUAGUGGCUUACCAAGGCUUUGACGGGUAGCCGGCCUGAGAGGGCGACCGGCCACAUUGGGACUGAGAUACGGCCCAGACUCCUACGGGAGGCAGCAGUGGGGAAUAUUGCACAAUGGGCGGAAGCCUGAUGCAGCAACGCCGCGUGCGGGAUGACGGCCUUCGGGUUGUAAACCGCUUUCAGCAGGGGCGAAGCUUGUGGUGACGGUACCUGCAGAAGAAGCACCGGCUAACUACGUG